AUGAACGCUGGCGGCGUGCCUAAUCCAUGCAAGUCGAGCGAACGGACGAGAAGCUUGCUUCUCUGAUGUUAGCGGCGGACGGGUGAGUAACACGUGGAUAACCUACCUAUAAGACUGGGAUAACUUCGGGAAACCGGAGCUAAUACCGGAUGAUAUUUUGAACCGCAUGGUUCAAAAGUGAAAGACGGUCUUGCUGUCACCUAUAGAUGGAUCCGCGCUGCAUUAGCUAGUUGGUAAGGUAACGGCUUACCAAGGCAACGAUGCAUAGCCGACCUGAGAGGGUGAUCGGCCACACUGGAACUGAGACACGGUCCAGACUCCUACGGGAGGCAGCAGUAGGGAAUCUUCCGCAAUGGGCGAAAGCCUGACGGAGCAACGCCGCGUGAGUGAUGAAGGUCUUCGGAUCGUAAAACUCUGUUAUUAGGGAAGAACAUAUGUGUAAGUAACUGUGCACAUCUUGACGGUACCUAAUCAGAAAGCCACGGCUAACUACGUG
rnacentral:rRNA from 1 species